rnacentral:other from 1 species
UUUCCAGAGACGCAGGAAGUUCAUCAGGAUGAUGACUUGGCACUCUACAUGAAACCGCAAGGAUGUGGUGGAUGGCAAGGAUAGCACUCACGGAUUUAGAGUGAAUAAAGGACACCUCCAGGAUGGAGAUGAGAAGCAGGUUAGGAUGACUUGUUAGGCUAGGAUUGCCAAAGGAACAACUCAAAGGAUUGGGGAAAAGUAAAUCACCUAAUGGAUUAGGUAAAUGUCUAAGUGCAGGGAGCACAAUCAGUUUAAGGAUAUGAGCUAUUACGACAACGUAAAAGGGCUGCACUAGUUACUAGUGUAGCCCUUUUCUUUGUCUAA